UACGGGGGGAGCAAGCGUUGUUCGGAUUUACUGGGCGUAAAGGGCGCGUAGGCGGCCACUGCAAGUCAGUUGUGAAAUCUCCGGGCUUAACUCGGAAAGGUCAACUGAUACUGCAGGGCUAGAGUGCGGAAGGGGCAACUGGAAUUCUCGGUGUAGCGGUGAAAUGCGUAGAUAUCGAGAGGAACACCUGCGGCGAAGGCGGGUUGCUGGGCCGACACUGACGCUGAAGCGCGAAAGCCAGGGGAGCGAACGGG
rnacentral:rRNA from 1 species